rnacentral:misc_RNA from 1 species
AUUCCUUUUCCUUGAUCCACAUACCUGCAGAGGAGAGAAACAAGCUCGUUUCGGUGAGCAGAGAGAGUAUCUUCAACGCGAUCCCUCAUGCUGGGGAUUCUAGCCAACUUGGGAGUUCCCAUGAUCGAACUGGACGCAAAAAUAAAAGAAGGCUGUAAGGUUUCUGUGCGAGUAGACCAGGUGACCCAGAGAGGAACCGAACCAGGCGUUGGCGUGUUAAAAC